GGUCUGCUUGACUACAAACUACAAACUCGAUUUAGCAGACCCAAGUUGUUGUGAAGCGAAUGGGUCUGCUAGACUACGAACUA
ensembl:ncRNA W07E6.7 ncRNA